GACGAACGCUGGCGGCGUGCUUAACACAUGCAAGUCGAACGAUGAUGCUGGAGCUUGCUCCAGUUGAUUAGUGGCGAACGGGUGAGUAACACGUGAGCAAUCUGCCCUUGACUCUGGGAUAACUGCGGGAAACUGUAGCUAAUACCGGAUACUUUCACCGGAAGGCAUCUUCUGGUGAUGAAAGAAUUUCGGUCAGGGAUGAGCUCGCGGCCUAUCAGCUUGUUGGUGAGGUAACGGCUCACCAAGGCGACGACGGGUAACCGGCCUGAGAGGGUGACCGGACACACUGGGACUGAGACACGGCCCAGACUCCUACGGGAGGCAGCAGUGGGGAAUAUUGCACAAUGGGCGCAAGCCUGAUGCAGCGACGCCGCGUGAGGGAUGACGGCCUUCGGGUUGUAAACCUCUUUCAGCACCGACAAAGCGCAAGUGACGGUAGGUGCAGAAGAAGGACCGGCCAACUACGUGCCAGCCGCCGCGGUAA
rnacentral:rRNA from 1 species